GGGGGAAGGAUCUCUUUCUGGAGGUCACUUCUUUGGAGUUUUGCAGUGAGCCCCGGGCGAUGGUUCGGGCUUCACUGAAUCUGUAAGAUGGGGGAUACUUGUAUGAUGUUGAUUAUGAGAAGUUUCCUUUAAGCAUCUGUUUCCCAAGAAGCAAGCUCACAAUUUUCCAGACAUCUGUAGACCCUGGUGUAAUGCCGUAACAGGAUGGAAAGUACCACAGUAAUACAGGAUAGCAAAGCUUUUUACUACAGCAAAUGAGAACAAGCCCAAGUGCAGCAACCACAGAUACAGAAAUGAAGGAAAAGAGCUAGUUACCUUUGGAAGACCUGAGGUAGGCAAGGACCUCCAACAAGUGAUGCCCUCACCUCCACUACCAACCCUUAAAUCAAGUCUGAGAAGGGGUAGAUCCUGGCUCCACUCCUUCCAGUCGUUCAGCUGCAUUGCAUGCACCUCAGCUCCCCUGGGCUGGCCCUGCAUUCCCAUCAGGUGCUCAACCACUGGGUCAGGCAUGGUUUCUCAGCCCAUCAGAAAACCUGCUCUCAUUUAGCUUGCUUCCUUGCUCUUUCUCUUGUUCAUAGCUAUGCUGUUUCAGAUUUGCAGCAGCUCUGGAAGAGUGUAAGAGGGAAGGGGGAACAGUGGGAUCAUGUAUUUGACUUUGUACACCAUUGACCUUUGCUCUUUUCAGUGACUUGUGAGUUCUUCAGGAUACUGGUGCCUUCCCGCAGAUUUAAAUGAGCUCUACUCUGAGUAAACAGAAACACAAUUUUUAUCAUAAUAUGUGGUUAAAGAAGACCUGCAAAGAAUUCAUGCUUAUAAGUAACACUGAAAAGAUAUAUUCUGAAGUACAUGCAUAGAUAGGGUUUUUGCAGUAUAAACAGGCUCUAUAUAAGUGUGAUAACUUUCAGAAAAGCAGGCAAACACUGAUUAGGUCUUUUUUACUGUUUUGCUUAAGGUUUGGUGGCAGUGAUGUAAAAAAUAACCAAGCCUAGAGUAGGGUAAAAACAAAACAAAACAACAACAGCAACAACAACAACCUGCACACAGGAAGAUUGAGAGGGUGUUUGAAGGAGAAGAGUGUUACUGUUUUCAUGGUUUCUGAGGAUCACGCAAAUCACAAUUUUUUUCUAAUGCUAUAUCCUAUUUUUGCUUUGAAAAUCUAUAUAAAAAGAAAUGUAAUGCUACACUUUUAAGCACUGAGCCAUUAUAAAAGGAGCAAUGACUGCUCAUGCAAUUCCUAUUUCUUCUCCUGUACAAGUGCUAAAAAUGGCUCGAGAUGCAUUUCCCAGCAUUCUCAAUGAAGUUCCUGAACACUCACGAAGGUAAGCAAAUGAUGUUAUGCCUACCUCAAAAAAAGGCUGAUUUUUCUCCUUAGUGUAAAUGCAAGCAUUGGAAAUGCAUGGGUAUUUGAAACUAUGAAAUUUACAUUCUCAGCAGCUUUGCUGUUCAGAGUAACAAGGAACUGUAAUUAGACACUUUAGACUUUGAAAAUAAUUUCAAAAAUCUUUCUAAAAGCCCUUACAUCAAAGAGCAUGAUUAACUGUGCAACACGUAUUUCAGCUUGACAAGAGAAAAAAGUCCUCAAUAUAUAGGGGAAAUGUUAGGUCAGGGCUUGAACUGGUGAAUGAGCGCCUGGGGAAGGGCUGUUGGUGGCCCCAGGAGUGCAGGCAAAUAAUUUACACCUGUGAUAUUUGUGUGAUCAGUAGGGCUAGACCACCCUGGGUUCAUUUAAGUCCCACCUGCUGAAGAGAGGAAAGCUCUUUGAUCUGGGCUGCUUCUUGCAAAUGGGUGUUGUAUAGCUAAAGAGUCCCUUCACUGGUUGGAUGAGCGCAACUCUUCUUUUUGUAUGUGGCUAUUGGCCUGUCUCUAAAUAGUUGGCUUGGUAUUGUCAAGAGCAUGUCAGAACCAAUUUUACUUCUUUCUGUGCUGAACAAUUACAUAACUGAAUUACAUUCUAAAUGCUGAAGAAUGGUGAAAAAUAGGCAGG